rnacentral:rRNA from 1 species
UACGUAGGGUGCGAGCGUUAAUCGGAAUUAUUGGGCGUAAAGAGCUCGUAGGCGGUGUGUCGCGUCGGCCGUGAAAACCUGCAGCUUAACUGUGGGCUUGCGGUCGAUACGGGCAUCACUGGAGUUCGGCAGGGGAGACUGGAAUUCCUGGUGUAGCGGUGAAAUGCGCAGAUAUCAGGAGGAACACCGGUGGCGAAGGCGGGUCUCUGGGCCGAAACUGACGCUGAGGAGCGAAAGCGUGGGGAGCAAACAGG